UACGCUCCACACAAGUUAAACUUGAGCAUGUGGCCAUCACAAGGAUGAUGUAACACCAGUAGUUAAGACUAAUAGGGAUAUUAGUAGUUAGCUACAUCAGGUGU
rnacentral:sRNA from 12 species